rnacentral:rRNA from 1 species
UACGUAGGGAGCGAGCGUUGUCCGGAAUCAUUGGGCGUAAAGAGCACGUAGGUGGAUUGAUCAGUCUGUCGUGAAAGUCAACGGCUCAACCGUUGAAGGCCGGUGGAUACUGUUGAUCUAGAGUACGGAAGAGGCGAGUGGAAUUCCUGGUGUAGCGGUGGAAUGCGCAGAUAUCAGGAGGAACACCAAUAGCGAAGGCAGCUCGCUGGGACGUUACUGACACUAAGGUGCGAAAGCGUGCGGAGCAAACAGGA